CUUCCAGCGCGAACCGGUUGGGGCAUUUUAUUUUCACUUCGUCAUAAAAGUUUAUUUUAUAAUUUUGUUGUAAAUACAAUUGAUGGUUCAGAUUUACAAUAGCCUUUCUGCUCACUAAGUUGUUAGUACAAGCUGUUGAUGGUCCGUUUUUGAAUUUUGUUUUAAAUUGUACUGCGUCAUCAUGCAUGUCUGCACUCGGCCGACUCAGUUGUCGACUUGUCGAUUGAAUAAAGGGAUGUUGAUGAUUUAGUAUUUACUAUAUAUAAAUAUGUUUGGUUCAUCUACACCGUUUGGAUCUUCUACAUUUGGUUCAAGUACAAGUAAGUAUUUGUUCCUUAUGUUCAAUUUUAAAAAUCCAUGUGCAUAUACAUGUAUAAAAAUGGUGACUUCUCUACUGAUAUUAAAAUUAUGAUUGAUUCUAAAGGGCUGUUUACAUGAGCCCAGUUUGCUG